UACAGAGGUCUCAACCGUUGUUCGGAUUCAUUGGGCGUAAAGGGUGCGUAAGCGGUCGUGCAAGUCGGAUGUGAAAUCUCAGGGCUCAACCCUGAAACUGCAUUCGAUACUGCGUGGCUAGAGUGCUGGAGAGGAGACUGGAAUUUACGGUGUAGCAGUGAAAUGCGUAGAUAUCGUAAGGAAGACCAGUGGCGAAGGCGAGUCUCUGGACAGCAACUGACGCUGAGGCACGAAGGCCAGGGGAGCAAACGGG
rnacentral:rRNA from 1 species